rnacentral:ncRNA from 2 species
GCAUUGCUGGUGCAGCGCAGCGCGGACGCCCGAACCUGGUCAGAGCCGGAAGGCAGCAGCCAUAAGGGAUGCUUUGCGGGUGCCGUUGCCUUCCGGCAAUGCUUUU